rnacentral:tRNA from 1 species
GCCUGGGUGGUGGAAUAGGUAGACACAAGGGACUUAAAAUCCCUCGGAGAUUAUCUCUGUACGAGUUCGAUUCUCGUCCCAGGCA